UUGUAAAGCACUUUAAGCGAGGAGGAGGCUCUUAAGGUUAAUACCCUUGAUGAGUGGACGUUACUCGCAGAAUAAGCACCGGCUAACUCUGUGCCAGCAGCCGCGGUAAUACAGAGGGUGCGAGCGUUAAUCGGAUUUACUGGGCGUAAAGCGUGCGUAGGCGGCUGAUUAAGUCGGAUGUGAAAUCCCUGAGCUUAACUUAGGAAUUGCAUUCGAUACUGGUCAGCUAGAGUAUGGGAGAGGAUGGUAGAAUUCCAGGUGUAGCGGUGAAAUGCGUAGAGAUCUGGAGGAAUACCGAUGGCGAAGGCAGCCAUCUGGCCUAAUACUGACGCUGAGGUACGAAAGCAUGGGGAGCAAACAGGAUUAGAUACCCUGGUAGUCCAUGCCGUAAACGAUGUCUACUAGCCGUUGGGGCCUUUGAGGCUUUAGUGGCGCAGCUAACGCGAUAAGUAGACCGCCUGGGGAGUACGGUCGCAAGACUAAAACUCAAAUGAAUUGACGGGGGCCCGCACAAGCGGUGGAGCAUGUGGUUUAAUUCGAUGCAACGCGAAGAACCUUACCUGGUCUUGACAUAGUAAGAACUUUCCAGAGAUGGAUUGGUGCCUUCGGGAACUUACAUACAGGUGCUGCAUGGCUGUCGUCAGCUCGUGUC
rnacentral:rRNA from 1 species